rnacentral:rRNA from 1 species
AACGAACGCUGGCGGCAUGCCUAACACAUGCCAGUCGAACGAGACCUUCGGGUCUAGUGGCGCACGGGUGCGUAACGCGUGGGAACCUGCCCUUAGGUUCGGAAUAACUCCCCGAAAGGGGUGCUAAUACCGGAUAAUGUCUUCGGACCAAAGAUUUAUCGCCUUUGGAUGGGCCCGCGUUGGAUUAGCUAGUUGGUAGGGUAAAAGCCUACCAAGGCGACGAUCCAUAGCUGGUCUGAGAGGAUGAUCAGCCACACUGAGACUGAGACACGGCCCAGACUCCUACGGGAGGCAGCAGUGGGGAAUAUUGGACAAUGGGCGAAAGCCUGAUCCAGCAAUGCCGCGUGAGUGAUGAAGGCCUUAGGGUUGUAAAGCUCUUUUACCCGGGAUGAUAAUGACAGUACCGGGAGAAUAAGCGCCGGCUAACUCCGUG